rnacentral:lncRNA from 1 species
AAAUAACCAUCAAUUAGAAGAAGAUACUACCUUACAUUCAUGCAAACUGUAAAUAGCAAACCAUUCUUGGUAAAAAAGCUUUUCAUUACACUUAAUAAGUCAUGACUCAUAAAUACCAAUUAUGGGAACUUCAAAUAUUAGCAUGGCUCACAAGGCGAGUAAUGAGAAAUACAAACAGUAAACCUAUUCAGAAGGGCGGAAAUGGAACAAAGCAAGCUGACAUCAAUGAACAUUCCGACAAAUUAUCGAUUUAGCCUUUGUUUUAUUUAAAAAAGAUAUGUAAAAGGAAAAUGACUUAGUUUUCGAAAAAUCGAUUAAACUUAUGGUUUAAGAGAAAUCGAAUUUCCAAAAGAACAGAGUCGCCACUUAAUUUUUAGUAAAAAAUCAAGAAAAAAUACAAGAUUUUUCAAAAGACUUAAACAGAUAAAAUCAAUUGAAAAAGGGUUCGAGUUCAAAUGUACAUUCCGAGAAGGUGUUAGGCCCUCAGAAUGCCCGCUAACUCGCGGUUGACCGACGAUUUGACCAAAAAUAAUUUUGACUAAUUUUAAAAUUUUAACUUAAGUAAAAGAAUUCAUUUUAUUUUUAAAUUUUUUUUUUUUUGAAAUUUAACUAGGGUAAAGAACUCAUUUAUUUUAACUAAUUUUUUGAAAUUUUAACUAUGUAAAAGAACCUAUUUAUUUUAAACCCCUUUUUUUAAUUUUAAUUAAGUAAAAGGACUCAUUUAUUUUAACUAACUUAUUUAUUCACCAUUACUACUUUUAUCAUUUUAUUUAUUCUAAGGGGGAAUGAACUAAAGAGAAAUUUUCUAAAGGGGAAUAACAUGUGAUAAGACGAAAUAUAAAAGUAAAGCUAAGUAUAAAUAUUUCAAUUUGGAUAUAUAUAUACCUAAAAGGGAAUGGCUAUCUUCGGGAAUCUAAUUAAGUUAAACCAUAAGAUAAUUAAGGUGUUAGUCAGAUUUGGUUUCGCCCUACGCUAGUUGACUAAGAGUGACUUUGAAAAACUGGGAACCCAAGUGGACAACUUAGGCUGAAAUUCACGACAACCAUUGGACGCAUGACGUACCAAUAAAUUGCCGAUCCUUUCGAAAAAGGUUGAGUAUAAAAAGUCCGGCUGCGAUUAUGCAGAAACCGUCCUUAAUAUACUAUACAUAUAAUAGGAAGAUACCAUGAAUGCAAUGACAAUUAUAAUAAAUUAAACACGUUGAGAGCAGAUAAACAAUUUAGCAAUUAAUACAAUUAGUCAAAUAAGUCAAAUCUUAUGGUUAGAACUUAAUUAAAUCCCCAGCAGAGUCACAAUUUCUGUUUUAUUUAAAAAGAUAUAAUAAAAGAAAAAUGACUGAGUUUUCGAAAAAUCGAUUAAACUUAUAGUUUAGGAAAAAUCGAAUUUCAAAAGGAACAGAGUCGCCACUUAAUUUUUAGUAAAAAAUCAAGAAAAAAUACAAGAUUUUUCAAAAGACUUAAACAGAUAAAAUCAAUUGAAAAAGGGUUCGAGUUCAAAUGUACAUUCCGAGAAGGUGUUAGGCUCUCGAAAUGUCCGCUAACUUGCGGUUGACCGGCGAUUUGACUAAAAAUGACUUUUUAAAUAAAUCUUCUAAAUUUUAGAUAAAUGAAGGAAAUUCAUUUUUUAUUAUUUACAUAUUGCUAUUAUUUUCCAAUUAAUUAUUUUUAGGGGGGAAAUAAACUAAAGGGGACUUUUCUAAAGGGAAAUAAAUUAAUUGUCGACAAGACUAAUAUUAAAAUAAGAACUAAGUAAUAUAAUAUAUAUAUACUUCAAUUUGAAAAAAAACAAAAUAAAAUGAAAUGACCAUCCUCGGGAAUUUAAUUAAAUUAAACCAUAAAUUAAACCAUAAGAUAAUUGAGCUUAGUGAAUUAGUAAGUAAGAGAGGGAAGGAAAAUAUUCAAAUUUGGGCCUAAGAUGCUGAUUUUUGGACUUUGAAAUCCAUUCCCGUUUUUGUAUACACAAGUUGUAUAUCGGUGCAUACAACUCGUAUACCAGCCCCGUUUCCUGUAUCUCGAGCUGUAUACCGAAUGUAUAUAACCCACUGCAACUUCCAGCACCAGUACUUAUGUUUUUGGCCAUGUAUUUGCUGCACUCGACCUGUAUAUCAUUGUAUAUUCUGCAUAUAUUUUGCAUAUUCCUUUGUAUAUAACAUGUAUACAGCCUGCUUUUUGGACUUCCGGGGCCUGUGCUUCAGUCUCUUGCUGGCUGACUCGAUGAACAAGAGUAUUGGGCCUUUAUAGCCCCAAUAGGAAAAUGCGAGGAGAAGAGAUAUGAGCCCAAGGAGACUCGAGGGAUAUUUCACAUGAAAAGAGCACGUAGAUAAUAGUUAGCAUCUACUCAUAAAGAUAAGACAAACAAAAAUAACCACACGAAAUUUGAUUGAGAAACAAAAAUAACCACACGAAUUUUGAUUGAUCUAAACCCAACCUUAAACAAAGUCCAAUCAACGAUAACUAAUAAAAUGGCAUUUACAACACUCAAAGGCAAUGAAAGUCAUGUAAACUCAAAUUUAACAAAGUCAAAUUCCGAAGCAAGAAGAAACUCAUUUACUGCCUCACUAUUAAAAUAACAAAAAUGUAAUAAUAUCAAAGAAUGAAUCACUACAAGUGCUUUAGAAAUGGAAAUGAUUUCAUUGACUCUUGGCCUUCCUUAAAGAGAGCACACAGUAGAGUACAAAAGAAUUUAGAGUAUAGGCCAUGAUUAUUUCUUUCUAAAGUAAGAUUUUUGUUAGCAUAAGUUAUUAGGAUUGAAGAAAAAGGAAAUAGUUCACACUUUGCAAUACAUAUAGGAGCAAGACACCACCACUGUACCAUGAAAAGAUUUCAACUUGGACCAAAUAAUAAAGCACGGCUAAUUAGUCACAUACGAGCUAUGUUCUAUGAACCCUCAGACAGAAAGCAUUAUUUCAGAUCAAACUCACAAGAGGUGGAGAAGAAAAUAAACUCAAGCCGGCAGAGCAUAGAUAUACACAAAUAAUUUUUGACAAAUAUUCGACUCCUAAGACUCACACACGAGUAGAAAAGAUGGGGUAAACUCAAAAUCUCGACGUCUUAAUUCCUUUAUCCAACUUGAGGUGGAAAAGGGAAAAUUGUGACAUCGAAUACUAAGCCCAGAUAUAAGCUCAAUCAACAUUCAUGAGGCAAAAUUUGAGAAGUGAAACCACGAAACAGAAUUGGAUAAAGCGGCAAAGAAGCUGCAAUAUCAUAUGCAGAACGAUGGAAACUUAAGUCGCCACUAACACGACUCAUGAAAUCAUCUAAACACAUAUACAUCACAUUCGAUUACCAUAAACUCAAAGGUACACAAUAAUAAAUCAACCCAGAUUAAGAAUCCUCCCCGCAUAGCAAAUCAAAAUAAGUAAAGAGAUGGAGUAAGUAUUAUCGAGAAGGAGUGUUACCUCGUCUUGGGCAGCGAGCUAGAAUAAUGAGCAGAGGUCAAUGAUUUUUCCACCAACGAUUCCGGGAGAAUUUCCAGCGACCAAAGAGAGACGCUAAGACGAAUAUACUUGGUAUAUGUUUUUUUGUAUGACUUUUGCGACUUGCAACUUUUUAUCUCUAUCAACUUUUAUCUGUAUUGAUGAAAAGUGGCCAAAAGUUCUUCACAAAAGAAUCGCUUCAAAUCUCUUAUGUGGAAAUUUUGGUUCUAAAAACAACACUCUUUUUGAGCCUCAAUUUUCUAACCGAAAAAAAAUAAAAAUCCCCCCUUCCAAGUGAAUAGAAGAGACGAUUAUAUAGGGGAAAUUAGGGUAGAUUUCGGGGGAAACGGAUAGAAAUUGGGGCCAAUUCGAAUUUCAAACUUCAAAAAUUUUCACCAUUAGAGGCAAACAUACUUUUUCUAAGACUUUCAAACCAUUCCGAAAGAAGAAAGGGGGACAGACGCGUGCCUCUUUCUUGCUGUUGCAACAUUAAUGGGGAUAGGGACGUUGGCUUUCCGCUUGGUUGCUGCUGCUAAUGCCUGGACGUCGUACUACUGUUCCUGGGUUUCUAUUGUGAAGGGGAAAAACAAUUUGGGCCGGGUUUAAGGAGUUAUGGGCUGGGAAUUGAAGUGGGUUGGGUUGGGUUUGGGAAUUGGGCUGGCAAUUAAAGGAAAUAAAGAGGGAAAGACUGUUGGGGAUGGGGUCAGCUGGUAUUGUUGUUUACAAAUUGUUGUUGUAUUAUUAAUGUAAAUAAUGUAUGGAAUUAUUGGAAUGGGGCUGGAAAAUGGGCUGGGAAUUAUAAAGGGAAUUGCGCCGAUAUUUGGUAUUAAGAAAAUGGCCCAAAAUGGUUCUUAAAUGGGUUUAUGGUGAGGUGAGUUAGAUUAAAUUUAAGGAAUAGCUUUAGAGAUUAAUUCGGCUAGAAUCUAAAUGAAUUAAUAUUAAUUAAUUAACGAGCUUCUUAAUCUUAACGAAGUAAAAUAAUUAACUUAAUUAUAAACUAAUUACUUUAACAAUAUACACGACCAAAUAACCAAAUAUUUAAAUAAAGCUAAAAUCCUUUCGAGACAAUUUUUGAACAUUCGUAAAAUAUACUAAUUAGACACAUAAUUAUAUAAUAAUUAACUUAAUUAUAAACUAACUACUUAACUCAAAAUUGUAAACUAUUAGAUAACAAAACAAACUAACCAAAUAUCUAAUUAAACAAAAUCUUUUUGAGACGAUUUCCAAUAUUUAUAAAAUACACUAAUUAUAUACAUAAUUAUAUAAAAGACAUAUUAUUAUUUAAAAAUUAUAAUAAGUAACAAACUAUUUGAAACAACUUGCAAAUUAUUCUAUUAUUUUGUUUAUAUUUUUUCAAAAUUUCUAAAAUUAAUUACUUUAAAACAUUUGAAAAUUAAGAAGCUCGAAAUUAAUUAUUAUCGGGGAGGGUCAAAAUUGGGUGUCAACAGCCUUUACUUUAGUUAAACUAGGACAGACUUGAGAAAAUCGACUCGACAUGAGAGGCAAUGGAAACUAUGCGAACAACACUAUUACGAAUGAGAUUUUAAAGUUGUAAAUAACUGACAUAUGAACCAUAUUUUACUUCAUUGAACACGGAUGGAACAAGCACUAUACAAGAGAAGAAAUAAAACUAUUCAACCUACACGAUUCAUGCUAGCUAAACGAAUGAAACAACCAUUGCCUAGCAGACUAUAAGAACCAGCAUUAUAAAUUCGGACAAUUCACAAUCGCAUUAACCUACAGCCAGCCAACAUGAUUAACAGCGAGACGAUAAGGAAAUAGAAAGGCAAACAACUUAGAAUCAACAUUGAGUCAGCCAAACUUCUAACCAAACGAAAUAGAAAAUUUAGAUAAACAAAACAAAUAAACACAACUGAUUUCGAACUUAAGAGCAAGUUGAGAUUACUUUUCAAAUGUCAGCAUUCACAUGGUUUAUAGCUUUCAAGCAGUGAACAACCUACAGCUCAAGAAAUAAAUGACACGAACAAUAAUAGAGUUUACCUUUCUGAGUGCAGCAAACAGGACAACCACGAGCAGAGGAGACAGCGAGCUUCUUCCAACACCACACCCGAAACUCCGAGAGUUCCGACGAGCAGCAAGAAUGUCUCCAAAAAAAAGAUCGGCGCUUGAAUACCCUCUAUAAUACUUGAUUUUCUUAAGUCUGUACUUGCAAAAAAAAAAAAAUCUAUGUAUCUUUUGUUUUUUUUUCUUGACUUCCAAUUUUUUCUACUAAAAAAUCCCUCCCCUUCAAUGAAAAAGAGAGUAGUCUUUAUAGAGGGGUUCUAGGGUUCUAGUUCUUUGGGGGGGGGGGGGAGGGAAAAAGAUUCAGAUUCAAAAGCCAAAUUCAAAAUUCAAAACUCCAAAACCUUUCAACCUUCCGGCUAAACACCUUUUUCUUUGAGGUUUUGACUCAUUCCGGAAGGGGAAAG